rnacentral:rRNA from 1 species
UACGUAGGGGGCAAGCGUUGUCCGGAUUUAUUGGGCGUAAAGAGCUCGUAGGUGGUCCGGUAAGUCGGAUGUGAAAUCUCCAGGCUCAACCUGGAGGGGUCAUUCGAUACUGCCGUGACUAGAGUUCGGUAGGGGAGACUGGAAUUCCUGGUGUAGCGGUGAAAUGCGCAGAUAUCAGGAGGAACACCGGUGGGGAAGGCGGGUCUCUGGGCCGAAACUGACGCUGAGGAGCGAAAGCGUGGGGAGCAAACAGG